AUACGGAGGAUCCGAGCGUUAUCCGGAUUUAUUGGGUUUAAAGGGUGCGCAGGCGGCCAUUUAAGUCAGCGGUUAAAUCGUGGGGCUCAACCCCAUUCUGCCGUUGAUACUGGGUGGCUUGAUUGCGGUCGAGGUUGGCGGAAUUCGUUGUGUAGCGGUGAAGUGCAUAGAUAUGACGAAGAACACCGAUUGCGUAGGCAGCUGACCAGACCGCAAAUGACGCUCAUGCACGAAAGUGCGGGGAUCGAACAGGAUUAGAUACCCUGGUAGUCCGCACAGUAAACGAUGAAUACUUGUUUUCGGCGAUAUAAUGUCGGAGGCAAAGCGAAAGCGAUAAGUAUUCCACCUGGGGAGUACGCCGGCAACGGUGAAACUCAAAUGAAUUGACGGGG
rnacentral:rRNA from 1 species